GCGGGCGUGGUUCAAUGGUAGAACAUAACCUUGCCAAGGUUGAGACGAGGGUUCGAUUCCCUUCGCCCGCUCCA
rnacentral:tRNA from 1 species